rnacentral:rRNA from 1 species
UACAGAGGUGUCAAACGUUGUCCGGAAUUAUUGGGCGUAAAGGGCGCGUAGGCGGCCGGGUUGGUCGUGGGUGAAAUCCCCCAGCUUAACUGGGGAACUGCCUACGAUACUGACCUGGCUCGAGGGAGGAAGGGCGGCCGGAACGUGUCGGUGGAGCGGUGAAAUGCGUUGAGAUCGACAGGAACGCCGGUGGCGAAAGCGGGCCGCUGGCCCGUCUCUGACGCUGAUGCGCGAAAGCCAGGGGAGCGAACGGG